AACGAACGCUGGCGGCAGGCUUAACACAUGCAAGUCGAACGGUCUCUUCGGAGGCAGUGGCAGACGGGUGAGUAACGCGUGGGAAUCUACCUAGUUCUACGGAACAACAGAGGGAAACUUCUGCUAAUACCGUAUACGCCCCACGGGGGAAAGAUUUAUCGGAAUUAGAUGAGCCCGCGUAAGAUUAGCUAGUUGGUGGG
rnacentral:rRNA from 1 species